GAAGUAAAAGUCGUAACAAGGUUUCCGUAGGUGAACCUGCGGAAGGAUCAUUAUCGAAUUAUAAGCGAGGGUUGUAGCUGGCCUCCCUUUCGAGGCAUGUGCACGCCUGAGCUCUUAAAUCCACAACACACCUGUGAACCCACCGUAGGCCUUCGGGCUUAUGUAUCAUAUACUCUGAAUGUGUCAUAGAAUGUUCAUGUUGCCUUAAAACGCAAUCAAAUACAACUUUCAACAACGGAUCUCUUGGCUCUCGCAUCGAUGAAGAACGCAGCGAAAUGCGAUAAGUAAUGUGAAUUGCAGAUUUUCAGUGAAUCAUCGAAUCUUUGAACGCACCUUGCGCUCCUUGGUAUUCCGAGGAGCAUGCCUGUUUGAGUGUCAUUAAAUCCUCAACCCCACCGAUUUGCUUCGGGGGGAUUGGACUUGGAGCGUGCUGGCGAAGGUCGGCUCCUCUUUAAAUGCAUCAGCGGAGAAGAAAGCUCGUCCCAGUGUGAUAAUCCUGUUGCGCUGUGGUGGGGUGAAAAUUCUGCUUCCAACCGUCCUCCGGGACAAGACAUCUCAAUUUGACCUCAAAUCAGGUAGGACUACCCGCUGAACUUAAGCAU
rnacentral:rRNA from 1 species